rnacentral:lncRNA from 1 species
UGUUGACGCUCAAAAAGGGCAUGAUCGCAAAGAGUGACUUGAGGCUGUAGCAAGAUGAGGUCAAAUUUAUGAGUUCAUGUCACCAUUUGAUGGCUCUCUUCAAGAUAAUCAAAGUAAAUGUGAAGAUGGAUCAAAACGGAGCUCAAGUGUAAAAGAUAUGCCAAUUUCGGAGAUACUCGUGUUGACACCAGAUUAGAAAAUGGCAUGAAACCUAACCAAGAUGGCCUCUGAUGGAAAAAGUUACCACAGAAAAGUUCUUCGUCUCGUCGAGACGAACGAUUUUGAUAUAAAGAUCGUCCCCAUCCAAGUUUGUAUGCAAAAGUUACAGCCAAAAGUGUGCGUGCAGUACUGUAUGGCCGGAUCAUCCGGACCGGGGUCCAGAUCAUCCGGCCGAGGGCCGAAAAAUUGACCAAAACAACAGAAGCUAAAAGUUGAAGCCGGAUGAUCUGGAUCAACUCCCGGAUGAUCCGGGUAAAGGCCGGACAAUCCGGGCAAUCGUCCGGGUGUCCGGACACGUCUUUCUGCUGCAGACUUUAGAAAAUGGCCCGAAACACCUUCAAGAUGGCCUCGGAUGAAAAAGUGUUCAACAUGAAAGUUGUGCGUCUCGUCGAGGCGGUUGAUUUGGAUAUAAAAAACGUCCAAAUCCGAGGUCGUAUGAGGAUUCUAGAGCCAAAACAGUAAGCUGCUGUCAAGAAACUGGGCUAGGCCGGAUCAUCCGGGCCUUGAGCCGGACAUCCGGGCCGGGGGUCGUGAAUAGUCCGUGUUUUACUAGAUUUUGAUGAUUUGGACGUCUAGGCAAGUCCUUUUCUUGUACGGGAAGUUCACCCGCCUCUUAUAUAGACAAGAGGUGACGGUCGAUUGAACAACAACACACAAUCGCAAAACUCAUCUACUUUUUACCCUACUUUUACAUCCCUCCCUUGUUCUUUCUCUCUCGUUCUUCGUUUGUUCUUCAUAUUGGAGGGCAGCGAUCCUCGAGGCUCUAGGGGCGGGCGAACCGACCUAGGGCAGCCCAUAGCCGCCGCGUGUCCAGACGGGGUCCCCCCCCCCCGGGCGCGUGGGGUUUCGGGUGCUCAAAAGCGCCCGCCGGAUUGUCUUGCGUACCGCGCUUCCGGUGGGUCUCCUUCGACGUGAGCUGCGGUGCAUCACCCUCGGCGUUGAAGGUACACGGUGACGUGUUCGUGUGCGAACACACUUUUUGGCGACUCCGCUGGGGAAGAAAGAUCAAGAAUCAUCAUCAACCAUGUCUAAUCUCCCCAAGCCCUCAGAAGUUGACGCCGAUAACAUCAUUAAGCUCGGCCUUGAUGAACUAUCGGAUGAACAUCGCCAAGCCUACGAAGCACGCAAGAAGCAGCAUGAAGAGGCUUUUGAGGCGCUCAAGAAGAAGCGCGAGGAGGAGGAUUUGGAAGCGUUUCUUUCAAGUUUCAAGAAGGACCGUCAAGGCAACAUCACUCCGGUUGGAAACGUCAAUUUUCCUCCCCUCAUCGACGAACAAGAUGUAAUCACUAUGAGUAAAGUUAUUUCUCUAGAGCAAGUGGCUGUGAUUGAAAGUCUUGUUAGAAAGGGUAAUGUGAUGGCAUACAAUUCUUUUGUGGCUAGUGCUAAUGCUCAGAAAAAUAUGCCUCCGUCAUCUAGUGGUACUGUUGGUGUAUCUGAAAACGCCAGUCCAACUUUACCUAUUUCAUCGGCGCCUCCUAUACAACAACAAUAUAGUAUGCCGUUGAAUUUCUACCCUAGUCAAACCAACCAGCUUGUGACUACACCUACAUACCCUAAUCCUAUUAUGAGUGUGCCCAAUUCAGCAUCAACACCGAAUCAUUUUGUCACACCACCCAUAGGCGCAAGUAUGUUUGGUCUUCCGCCGAAUUAUGGUUCGGCGCCCAUCCCACAAGUUGCACCAAUAGCUAGUACUCAGGUUGCUCCAAUGUCAUUGCCACAAACAUCUUCAUCUACCUCAGAUCCAAUUUUAGCUAAAUUAAGGGAGGAUUUGCAUAAGAUGUUUCAAGAAACUUUCGGAAACGAGCCGAAAGUAAAGAGUCGUGUAUAUCAAAAGCCUUAUCCUGAACACUUCGAUGCAAUUUCUUACCCUCAAGAUUAUAAGGUUCCUGAUUUUGUUAAAUUUAAUGGUGAGGGUACGAAAACAACUUGGGAGCAUGUGAGUCAGUAUCUAGCACAGCUGGGUGAAGCAGGUUCCAUACAAGAGUUGAAAGUGCAUUUAUUUCCCUUGUCUUUAACUGGCACCGCAUUUUCAUGGUUUGCUGCUUUACCACAUGGCUCAAUUCGCUUAUGGUCGCAAUUAGAGCAAAAGUUUCAUGAUCAUUUUUAUAGCAGCGAUAAUGAGCUAAAGUUGUCACAUCUUACAUCGGUUAGGCAGAAACAUGAUGAAUCGGUCACCGAUUAUGUCAAGAGAUUUAGAGAUAUAAAAAAACGAUGUUAUAGCUUAGUGAUAACUGAGAGAGACUUGGCAGAUCUUGUCCUUAAUGGUUUGAAAACUCACAUAGUUUUUGAGCAUUAAUCAAGUCUUACAAAAAGCUUUGGCCCAAGAGAGUCGAAGUAAAGAGGUCCAUAGGUCUACAACCGAUCGUCCUAGAAUGCAUAUGGUUGAACACAAUGAUGAUAAUUCAGACGAUGAGGUUGAUGUCUAUACUAUUGAAUUUGUUUGGUCCUCAAAGGCCAAACCCUAUAUGUGCAAUGCUCUUAAGCCGAUUCGCAAGAAUCGUGAUGAGGAGAUGAGGUUUACUUUUGAUAUAUGAAAGUGUGAUAAAAUAUUUGAUGCACUCUUGCAAGAUAAGAUGAUUAGAAUAUCACACACCAUACCGCCGUUUGAGGAGCUGAAACGGCGUGCUUAUUGCAAGUACCAUAAUUCAUUUUCUCAUGCUACUAACGAUUGCAAUGUUUUCCGACGACAGAUACAAUCGGCCAUUAAUGACGGACGAUUGAAUUUUGCUAAGAUGCAAGUUGAUAAACAGCCCUUCCCGAUAAACACCAUGGACUUGGAGGGAAAGAAAAUGUUGAUUCGGCCUAGCAUAGCCGAAUCUGCUAAUAAAGAUAAUGUUGUUAUUGGUGAACCCAGGAAUAGCAAGGAGGGUGACAAGGUCUUGGGAAGAAAGAUUGUGCUUGAGAAGCAACCCGAUGGCAAGGAAGUGUUGAAGAUCACUAUAAAAAUAGCCACACUCGGGGGGCAACCACAAGUACAAGAGGAUGAUCAUGUUAAAUUGAUCAAGCCCAAGAAUUCAGAAGUUUGCAAGUGGAAAAAGAAUGAAACUAAGAACAAGAGAAUCAAGCCAACUUUUGAUAUGUUGUUAUCCAAAUAUGCAAGUCAAGCGGCCGGUUCUAGCUCUAAUCGGCUAUCACAUUCAAAGCGUUCAAGAUUGCCUCCGGAGCAAGAGUUUCAACGAUAUGCAAGGCCAUAUGGGUCAGGGGCACCGACACCAUGGAUGUCACAACCCUCCUAUGCGCCAUAUUACAUGAGAGGCUUCGAUGGAGGAUGGGGGCAGCCCCCAAUGGCUCCUUAUGCUUUCCAUAUGGGGUGGGCAGCACCUAGAAGGCCUGCUCGUGAGAGGCUUUAUUAUCCCACACAAGGCCGUUUGAGAUAUGGUGCUAAUCGGCCAACAAAAAUUUCUCCAAGUAAGGCCAAUAGAAAAGUGUGGCGUCUUAAGUCAUCUAGUGCGGAAAUUUCAGAAUGCGACAAGCAAAAGGAGAUCAAAAAGCCGGUUGUUGGUAAUCUGGCUACUUCUAAUGGUGAUAUUGUUAUUGUUCAGCAGGGUUCCAUGCUUAGUGAUCAUGAGGCUAGCACAAGCAAGGCCAAACCAAGGGAUCCCAAAUAUACUCAACCUAAGUGGUGUCCUCCCAGUUUAACCAAGACCAUAAAAAGGAGAUUACAACGCAUGAGGAACCAUGAGAAGGUAGAGCACAAAGAGGAGAGGCAAAGGGACAAAUUGUUAAGUGAUAUUCGGCCCAUGGCACUCACAAAACAAGUGUGGAGGCCUAAAGAAAAAGAAAACGCAGAUGCUUCUACAUUAGCUACAACAACACAUUCACCACCAAAAUAGGAUGAUGCAACCCCUAUUACAUCGUCCACACCACCUGAAACAUCCCCUUCGAUUGAGGAAUCUUUGUGCCCAAUAUUCACAUUGGGAGAUGAAGAUGAGAUGGUGGAUUAUGAAUAUACGCCGGUUCGGGAAGGUAUGGAUAUUAAUAUGGUAUAUUACUUACCUGCCAAGUUUCGUGCUAUAGGUGAAGAAGGGGAGGUCGCCCAGCUGAAUUUUGGUCCUAAGAAUGCUAUUUUCGAGAAGCCAAGAGAACCGGUGAAACACUUGAAGCCAUUGUACCUCAAAGGUCAUAUUAACGGAUCGCCGGUUGCUAGGAUGCUCGUUGAUGGUGGUGCUGUGAUAAAUCUUAUGCCCUACUCGAUCUUCAAAAAGUUGGGGUUAGAUGAUGAUGCAUUGAUGAAGACCAAUAUGGUACUUAAUGGAUUCGACGGUAAAGAAAAGACAGAGGCCAAAGGUGUGAUGUGCAUGGAACUCACCGUGGGAAGCAAAACUUUGGCCACCACAUUCUUCAUCGCCGAGGUGCAAGGUAACUAUAAUGUUAUAUUAGGUCGUGAUUGGGUUCAUGCUAACCAAUGUGUGCCAUCUACCAUGCAUCAAUUUUUAAUACAAUGGAUCGAUGAUGAGGUAGAAAUCAUUCACGCGGAUAAUUCGGCUUGUGUUGCUUUGGCCGAUGCAUCGGUGGAUUGGAAUCAUCCCGAUGUUACUUGCUUAACAGGGCGUGACCUCUCGGAGUUUGAUUUCCUUAGUGCUACAAGGAACAGGUUCAUUCCCAUCUCUUUAAAACCGAUUGGUGGUAAUCGGUUACAAGGUAUGAUGUGAAUCAGAAGUUAAAAUCAAUGGCCGAUAUAAAGUUAUCGCCCUAAGCAUAAACAUGGCCGAUAUAAAGUUAUCGCCCUAAGCAUAAACAUGGCCGAUAUAGAGAUUAUCGCCCUAAGCGCAUAUAAAUGGCCGAUGGAGUGUUGACAUCGUCCUUAGACAAACGUUUUGCAAGUUAUUUUUCGGCACGCUAGCUUUGGCGAAAAACAGGGGGGCAUGUGUUGACGCUCAAAAAGGGCAUGAUCGCAAAGAGUGACUUGAGGCUGUAGCAAGAUGAAGUCAAAUUUAUGAGUUCGUGUCACCAUUUGAUGGCUCUCUUCAAGAUAAUCAAAGUAAAUGUGAAGAUGGAUCAAAACGGAGCUCAAGUGUAAAAGAUAUGCCAAUUUCGGAGAUACUUGUGUUGACACCAGAUUAGAAAAUGGCAUGAAACCUAACCAAGAUGGCCUCUGAUGGAAAAAGUUACCACAGAAAAGUUCUUCGUCUCGUCGAGACGAACGAUUUUGAUAUAAAGAUCGUCCCCAUCCGAGUUUGUAUGCAAAAGUUACAGCCAAAAGUGUGGGCUGCAGCACUGUAUGGCCGGAUCAUCCGGACCGGGGUCCAGAUCAUCCGGCCGAGGGCCG